GUGGUGUAAGAGGAAGUGGUGAUGGUGGUGUAAGAGAAGGUGAUAGAGGAGGUGGAGGAAGAGGAGGUGGUGGAGAUUCACAUGCUUCACCCUCUGACCCCAACUUCCAUGGUAAAACCUUGUUCUGUCAUCUACUGACUAUCACCAUGUUAUUACCACUUUAUUCUAGGCUGUCAUGUUAAGUGCUAUGAGGAGUUUCAUUUAAACAGUCUGUUUUAACUGAUCUCUUAACAUCCCCUGUCUUUUAGAUGAUUCUUCGCCAGGACAUGGAGGUUCCUCUUUAGAUACCAGUAUUGCAGGUAUUAUCGAGCCACGACUUCCUUAUUGGUGUAAUAGUUGUAAAUCCGUUUUUGCUCUCCUGCGCCUGACUUCUCUGUCGCCAGUACGCACCCCCUACAGGUGGAUAUUAAGGGUAUUGGAGGCUCUGCCCCCUAGGAGCAGAGGGGGUGGUGAAAGUAUAAAACCUCUUGGGCUCCCUCCAGCCAGACUGUAGACCUACUAGAAACUAUAAAGACACCUGAGUGUCGCCCCACUGGCUAAACUCUCCCGUCACAAUGCUGUCACGAAAGUGGACUGUUCAUUUGAUCUUUGCUUUGGCUGGUCUUGCUCUCUCAGACCACGUUACUGAUGGAGAUACCAGCGUGGAAACCACAGGCACUCCUGAUGCCCCUGACGCCCCAGGCAAGUUCUGCAUGCUGUGCUGUACUGAAGACUGUAUCGAGGAAAGCAGCCAUGUAGGGAGCCAAGGUUGUUGGAUGCCCUGUAUGGAGGCAUGUUGGAAGGAAUGUAUGGAGCCCUAUAUGGAUCUCUGUAUGGAGCCCUGUACACAGGAUUCGUCGAAGGUGUGCAACAGUAAGGGGGACAUUAAUGAGGACAGUAAGGGGGAUGGUAAGGGGGACGGUAAGGGGGACGGUAAGGGAGACGGUAAGGGAGGCAGUAAGGGAGACGGUAAGAAGGACAGUAACGAGGACACUAAGAGGGACGGUAAGGGGGACGGUAAGGGAGGCGGUAAGGGGGACGGUAAGGGGGACGGUAAGGGAGGCAGUAAGGAGGACAGUAAGGGAGACGGUAAGAAGGACAGUAAGGGGGACGGUAAGGGAGGCGGUAAGGAAGGCAGUAAGGAGGACGGUAAGGGAGGCAGUAAGGAGGACAGUAAGGGAGGCGGUAAGGAAGGCAGUAAGGAGGACGGUAAGGGAGGCAGUAAGGAGGACAUUAAUGAGGACAGUAAGGGAGACGGUAAGAAGGACAGUAAGGAGGACGGUAAGGGAGGCGGUAAGGAAGGCAGUAAGGAGGACGGUAAGGGAGGCAGUAAGGAGGACAGUAAGGGAGGCGGUAAGGAAGGCAGUAAGGAGGACGGUAAGGGAGGCAGUAAGGAGGACAUUAAUGAGGACAGUAAGGGGGACGGUAAGGGGGACGGUAAGGGAGACGGUAAGGGAGGCAGUAAGGGAGACGGUAAGAAGGACAGUAACGAGGACGGUAAGAGGGACGGUAAGGGGGACGGUAAGGGAGACGGUAAGGGAGGCGGUAAGGAAGGCAGUAAGGAGGACGGUAAGGGAGGCAGUAAGGAGGACAUUAAUGAGGACAGUAAGGGGGAUGGUAAGGGGGACGGUAAGGGAGGCAGUAAGGAGGACAGUAAGGGAGGCGGUAAGGAAGGCAGUAAGGAGGACGGUAAGGGAGGCAGUAAGGAGGACAUUAAUGAGGACAGUAAGGGGGAUGGUAAGGAAGUCGAUAAGGGAGACAAUAAGGGGGACAGUAAGGGGGUUAGUAAGGGAGACAGUAAGGGGGACAGUAAUGGGGUUAGUAAGGGAGACAGUAAGGGGGACAGUAAGGGGGUUAGUAAGGGAGACAGUAAGGGGGACAGUAAGGGGGACAGUAAGGGGGUUACUAAGGGAGACAGUAAGGGGGACAGUAAGGAGGACAGUAAGGGGGUUACUAAGGGAGACAAUAAGGGGGACAGUAAGGGGGUUAGUAAGGGAGACAGUAAGGGGGACAGUAAGGGGGUUAGUAAGGGGGACGGUAAGGGGGACAGUAAGGAGGACAGUAAGAGGGACGGUAAGGAAGUCGAUAAGGGAGACAGUAAGGGGGACAGUAAGGAGGACAGUAAGAGGGACGGUAAGGAAGUCGAUAAGGGAGACAAUAAGGGGGACAGUAAGGGGGUUACUAAGGGAGACAGUAAGGGGGAUAGUAAGGGAGCCGGUAAGGAAGUCGAUAAGGGAGACAGUAAGGGGGAAAGAAAAAGACAGUAAGUGUGAGUGUAGUCUAACGUUCCUUAACCCUCUCUUGGUCCUCAAAAUGGGGAAGGUGUCUACAGAGAUACAAUUGAAUUAUUAUGCUGUUUUGAUGUACAUAACAUUUUUGCCCACUUUUUGACUGUUUUCUUGUUGUUUUUAAUUUCCUGAUGUUUUGAGAUCCUCUCUAGUGUUUACAGAACAUAAGGGUCUGAUUGGUGAAAUCAAUGCUAGCAGUAAUAUACAGAAUGACAAUGUAUGAGAAGAAAUGUGUCCAAUUCCAAUGAUAAUGAGUACAUGAUGCGUGAGAUGUUCAUUAAAGAAUCAUUUCUGUGAUGUGGAUUUUUGCCACUCUGCACAACCUGACUCCAGGGCUAUGCCUCUCCCCCUUCAGAAGAAGGCCUCUGUCAGGUUUAUUAUGGGUUUUAUGGUAUAAAAUCAUGUUUUAUAAUGAACUUCACUGCCUUAGUUUGAGUAUUUUGAUUUCUCGAUCUCUUUGUUUUAAGGUACUUAUUAUGUUGCAUUUAUUCAAUAUAAUCACACAUGAGAAUCAAAGUUGUAACACUUAAGAUAAGAACGAUUGACAGGUAACAUGUUUUUUGUUUAUGGUUGUUUAUUGAUUGUUUAUGCUGUUCAGGUUUUCCCCUUCUGCUAUACAAAGAAUGUUAUGCCUGUUCAGUGCAUUUACCUUCCUCUAGUCAUUUCCUGGGGAAGGAGUUUUGGUUCAUGGAAGACUGUUCGCUCUCCCACCGCCUGAUGUGCCCCGUUACAGUGAUGGAUGAAGAGGCACGUCUGUUAAUCCACUAAAGAAAAAACAACCGAAAUUCGUCGGGGCAUGGACUCUACAAGGCGUCGAAAGCUUUCGACAAGGAUGCUGGUCCAUGUUGACUCCAAUGCUUCCCACAGUUGUGUAAAGUUGGCUGGAUGUCCUUUGGGUGAUGAACCAUUCUUGAUACACACGGGGAAACUGUUGAGUGUGAAAAACCCAGCAGCGUUGCAGUUCUUGAAACAAACUGGUGCGCCUGGUACCUACUACCAUAUCCCGUUCAAAGGGACUUAAUUCAUUUGUCUUGCCCAUUCACCCUCUGAAUGGCACACAUACACAAUCCAUGUCUCAAUUGUCUCAAGGCUUUAAAAUCCUUCUUUAACCUGUCUCCUCCCCUUGAUCUACACUGAUUGAAGUGGAUUUAACAAAUGAUAAGGGAUCAUAGCUUUCACCUGGAUUCACCUGGUCAGUCUAUGUCAUGGAAAGAGCAGGUGUUCUUAAUGUUUUGUAUACUCAAUGUAUUUCCACACUACGAGGUUGGAAUAAUACUGUAUUAAUAACACUGAAUAAUACUGUAUUAAUAACACUGAAUAAUACUGUAUUAAUAAUACUGAAUAAUACUGUAUUAAUAAUACUGAAUAAUACUGUGAAAAUAAUAAUGUCGCCUGACAUUUCAGCCUGUUUUGUGGGAUGGAGAUUUGGCCUGCUUGGGGACAUCACUAGGUGGUAAAUUAGUUAAUAGUUUUCAGUUUUCUCCUCCCCACUCAGACCACUCUCAGACAAUCCUACACUCUCAGAAAAAUGGAACCCUUUUAGGUUCUCGAUAGCAUUUUUUCCCCCAAGAGUGUAACAAAAUUCUUGCUUGAGAAAUUGCUCUUGGCUAAGAAACUAUUUUUGUUUCUUUUUGACCAUUUUAAUUGAAAACAACAACAGUAAGGUACUUUAUUAUUACCUAGAAAUGAUUUGAUAUUGAGAUAAAAACGUUACCAUUGGACCUUUAAGAUAGUAUUCAGUCAUUGUAGGUUUGCUAGGUUUCUGCAGGUUGUGGGUUACUACAGUUUUCCUCUCGCUUUCAUAUGAUGCAUUGCUGUCUCAGUCCUUGACAGAAAGCUCAAUUGACACUUUUGUUCUUCUAACCGAUAACGGCUGCUACAUUUGAAAAAUAACUCCUACUGGCUCAGUUCAACAUUCAUUUUAAAGUUAUGAGUAACAUAAGGUCCUUUAUACAAAAUGAAGUGUUCAUACAAUGUCUUUGAUUAUGUAUAAUCUACAUUGGUUGGAAGAAUGGUAAAAUAAUUAUAUAGACAUAAUGAAAAUGUAAUUUCAAUAUGUACACAGGGGGAAAAUCUAAUAAAGAUUGAGUUGUCAGAUAAUUUUUGGGGGGCAAGUUUGUUGGGAUAAAAAGCAGUAUGUGUGUGUUUUUGUGAAUGUGUAAAGGAUGUGCUGAUGAAAUGAGAAGAAAAUAAGAAGCCUACUCACCGACUACCAAGACAUUACAAUAAUAUCAACUAUAAAUAAUAUGAUAAUAUAAUGAACAAACAAAAUAUCAUGUCAUAACAAUAAUCAAUGGAGUUACUAGAAUGUGAUACAUUGACAAUUGAAAUACAGACACACAUGUCAAGUUGAAUAGUAGCGUACUAAGCACACAGCCAAGACAACGCAGGAGUGGCUUCAGGACAAGUCUCUAAAUGUCCUUGAGUGGCCCAGCCAGAGCCCGGGCUUGAACCCGAUCAAAAAUCUCUGGAGAGACCUGAAAAUAGCUGUGCAGCGACGCUCCCCAUCCAGCCUGACAGAGCUUGAGAGGAUCUGCAGAGAAGAAUGGGAGAAACUCCCCAAAUACAGGUGUGCCAAGCUUGUAGCGUUAUACCCAAGAAGACUCAAGGCUGUAAUCGCUGCCAAAGGUUCUUCAACAAAGUACUGAGUAAAGGGUCUGAAUACUUAAAUAAAUGUGAUAUUUCAGUUUUUUAUUUGAAAUAAAUUAGCAAAAAUGUAAAAAACCUGUUUUUGCUUUGUCAUUAUGGAGUAUUGUGUGUAGAUUGAUCAGGGAACAUUUUAGAAUAAGGCUGUAACCUAACAAAAUGUGGAAAAAGUGAAGGGGUCUGAGUACUUUCCGAAGGCACUGUAUAAGAACAAUGCUAAAGAGUCUGCAGCCAAGAGAUGUUAAGGUCAGAAUGUUGUGGUUCUACUAAGAUUAUCUGUAAAGAAAGCUACUGUGGGAGUGUUUGUUUGAGUUCAGUUUGUCCCUAGCUGUAUUAUUAUCGAUAUCAUUUUUGUUUUAUGUUCUUUUAUUAAUCUCUUUUAUCGCUUUCUGUUUAUUUCUUUAUGAUCUACUUUUGUCACGUCCUGACCAGUAUAAGGGUUAUUUGUUAUUGUAGUUUGGUCAGGACGUGGCAGAGGGUAUUUGUUUUAUGUGGUUCGGGGUUGUGGUUUAUGUAGUAGGGUGUUUGAUUUAUUAUUUCCGGGUUUUGGUCUAUGUUCCAUGUAUAGCUGAUGGCCUUACAGGACUGUUUAUUCGUCGGUGUGUUUCUUUUGGUGUACAUGUUUAUUUUGGUUUUUCCUUCUUUACGUAAUAAAAGAAGAUGAGUACACAUAUACCCGCUGCGUUUUGGUCUCAAUCCGACGACAACCGUUACAACUUUAUUUUAAUGCUUUACUGCACUUUAACUAAAGUUUGAUUUGAUUUGAAUUUCAUUCCUCCUAUAGAGAUGAAUUACAGACUGAUAAAUGACCAAGUGAGAGCAACUCCACUCCACUGCCAGUAAUUUCCAAAACAUCUCACCAUAUCCAAUUACUACAGAGAAUGACUCCUUAAGGAGGAUCAGAGGUGGCUCGUGAUCACCAGGACAAAAAGUCUUCACAGGAUUUGAGAUCAAUUUGAAAUGGCAUGGUAUUGUAACACGAGAAGUGUGUGUGUGUGUGUGUGUGUGUGUGUGUGUGUGU
rnacentral:lncRNA from 1 species